rnacentral:misc_RNA from 1 species
UGAAUAUGCGAAUGGGUUUCUUCGUGCUUAGCCGACGUUUCCUUGCCGAUGCCUCGCCGGUCGUUUCGCGCCGGCUCCGACCGGGUGACGCGAUAACCCAGAUCGGAGAUCUGAUUGCGGAUUUUGACGUCGUCCACACCGCCAUCGUCAUGNACGGUGCCGCCGGGCACGGAGACGACCACGUCGGUGACACCUGGCAUCCGCCGGAGAGCAUUUUCGAUCUUCGUGGCGCAAGAAGCGCAGUCCAUUCCUUCGACGCGGAAGCGAAGCUUCGCAGGCUGAACGGUAUCACUCAUGAUCGCUUCCUUCGGUGCAAUACUACGGCUCAAAUCACGUUUCAAAUCUCACGUCUUGCCCUCCAGGCGUAGCCGCUUGUAGAGCGCCGCUACGGCGUCCGAAAAAUCCAUCGAGCUAUUGCGCGCGCAAUGAUCUUCCAGGAAGUGGAGUUGCUUGAUGAGGUCGAAUGUUGCUGGAGCGAGGUCGAGGCCCUCAUCGACACCCGGCGGCCUGCUCGAUAUGAUUCCGCUCAUGAACCCCUGCGCCCAAGCCAGAUAGUCGCGUCGAAGCGCAGGAUUGGCUUUGACGUCAUCGGUGAACCGCUGGCAGGUCGUGGCGCCCAGGCCGACGAUUCG